UGCUAAGGACCGCGGUUGCCAUGGAGACGGGAGGGGAGGCCGCGUCUGGCGGAGCGCAGCCCCUCUCGGAGGAUGCGGGGCGGUCGAUGGCGAUUUGCACUGCAGAGGGAGGCGUACAGCCCUCCCGCCGCCUGGGAGGGCAGUCGAUGGCCGCUUCAUUCCGGCGUUGUCCUCCAGGAAAGAGGAGCUCGUGACACUCACAGAGAAGAGAAGCACUAAUGAAUGGUGCAGCCAACCCCAGCCGUGCCGUUGCCUUCAGCUGGGACCCACAAUUGCACGGAUUUCUGACCGGGAUGAAAUGAAUUCUUAAUAGCAGCAUCUGCCGCAGGAAAAGUCCAGAGAGUUUCCCAUCUGCAGAGCAAGAAGUGUCCUAGGGUGCAUCAGGAAGAGCAGCAGGCCAAGGGAGGUGAUCCUGCCCCUCUAUUCAGCCCUGGUGAGUGCUGUGUCCCCUUCUGGGCUCCUCAGCACAAGAAAAACAAGGAGCUACUGGAGAGGAUCCAGAAGAGGCCACAAAGAUGAUCUAGGGUCUGGAGCAUCUCUCCUCUGAGGAGAGACUGCAGGACCUGGGCCUGUUCAGUCUGGAGAAAAGACUGAGAGGGGAUCUCAUUAAUGCAAUAUAUUAAUUCAAAAUCAAAUU